GUGACGCAUCCGGCAAAUAAAACCAGAUCGCGCGAGACUUCCUGUCUUUACUCUCUCCUGGCGGAUGUAUAUCGACAACCUGCAUCGUUGGCGUUAGUAUGCAGCGGUUUCCAUAUGUUUAUAUGCCUUUCUGUUCAUCUUUGGCGGUACCUAAAGCACACAAGCCUCCAUAAAAAGCUAUCGUUUUGAUUAGCAUUUGAAAUAGGUGACAAUGUGGAGUUGUUGCAUGUGCUAGCUUGUUAGCUUCAAGCUACAAGGCAACCAGCACGUGGUCAAGAGCAUAGCUGCCGUCCAGCAAGACACAAGUUCGACUUACAGGUUCCUGCUCCAGAUGGUUCCAUGUCUGCAGAGAUGCAAAACGUGCUGGAUGUGCGGUACCUGAGGAGAUGGACAGGUGUCAUUCCUGAGUUGGGCGGAGCAACCUGAAGAUUCAAAUUCAUCUAGGAAACAAAAUAAAGUCUGUUGAUUCA